GACACGGACCAGACUCNUACGGGAGGCAGCAGUAAGGAAUAUUGGUCAAUGGAGGCAACUCUGAACCAGCCAUGCCGCGUGCAGGAUGACGGACCUAUGGUUUGUAAACUGCUUUUACACGGGAAAAAACCUCUUUACGUGUAAAGAGCUGAUGGUACCGUAAGAAUAAGGAUCGGCUAACUCCGUGCCAGCAGCCGCGGUAAUACGGAGGAUCCAAGCGUUAUCCGGAUUCAUUGGGUUUAAAGGGUGCGUAGGCGGAAUGGUAAGUCAGUGGUGAAAGCCCUUCGCUUAACGAAGGAACUGCCUCUGAUACUGCCAAUCUUGAGUACAUUUGAUGUGGGCGGAAUGUGUCAUGUAGCGGUGAAAUGCUUAGAUAUGACACAGAACACCGAUUGCGAAGGCAGCUCACAAAACUGUAAC
rnacentral:rRNA from 1 species